rnacentral:tRNA from 1 species
GGCCUAUUAGCUCAGUUGGUUAGAGUGUUGUGCUAAUAACGCGAAGGUCACAGGUUCGACACCUACAUGGGCCA